rnacentral:rRNA from 1 species
CAUGUCUUAAAUGUUUAUUUUAUUUUAAGUCGGCCCUGCUCAAUGAUUAACUUAAAGUUAUUAAAUAGCCGCAGUAUUUUGACUGUGCGAAGGUAGCAUAAUCAUUUGUCUUUUAAUUGAAGGCUUGUAUGAAAGGGUUGUCAAGAUGUAAUCUUUCUUUAUACUAAAUUAUUGAAUUUAAUCUUUAAGUCAAAAAGCUUAAGUGUUUUUAUGGGACGAGAAGACCCUAUAGAAUUUGAUUAAUGAAUAUUUUAUUCUAUCUUUGGUUUAUUAAUUUUAUUUUACUAUUUCAUAAAUUUUGUUGGGGUGAUGGGGAAAUUUUAUAAACUUUCUUUAUUUAUUUUACAUUGAUUAGUGUAUUAAAGAUCCUUUAUUAAGGAUAAUAAGAUUAAAUUACCUUAGGGAUAACAGCGUAAUUCCUUUGGAGAGUUCAUAUCGGUGAAGGAGUUUGCGACCUCGAUGUUGGAUUAAAAUAAGUUUACCAGUGUAGCAGCUGUAUUACUAGGUCUGUUCGACCUUUAAAUUUUUACGUGAUCUGAGUUCA